AUUCUGUCAUACCCUGAUAAUACUGAUAAGAAAAUUGGGAAUCUAAGAGAACGUAAGGAGAGUGAUGGUGACAUAUUGAACCUAAGGUGAUACUACAUGAUCCCUGUUUCUGGCAUUACACUCUUAUUUUCCCCUCCUCUUCAAUGUGGGUAGGACCUGUGACUUGUAUCUAACCAAUAGAAUAUGACAAAGGUAAUAGGUUGUUAUGCGAUGUCAUAGAAGACUCCAUAGUACCAGCUGACUCAGUCUAGAAUCUUGGUGUGCUUGCAGGCUUUGAAGAACAAGCUGCCAUGAAUCCUGCAGCUACAAGGAAAUGAACUCUAUUAACUUGAGUGAGCUUAAAACUAGAUCCUUCCCCAGUCAAGCCUCCAGGUGAGAAUUCAAUCCUGGCUGGCACCUGGAUUGCAGCUUACAGAAGACCCAGCUAAGGCCAUGUCUGGACUUUAAAUCCACAGGAACUGCAAGAUGGUAUCAGAAGUGGGACCUGCAGUGGGGCAUCUAGCAACCCCCAGGAGCAUUGAGUGACCAGGCUUGGGACCCACCGGGCGCAGGGUGUCCAUUGUUCUCUCGAAGCAACUGAGAAUUGUGGAUAUUCUUCAUUAUUCCAUCAUCAUCUCAAACCUCUUGGGUAUAGUGUUUGACUACUACUGUGACCAUAAAUUCCAAUAAAACCUAGGAAAAAUGAAACCACUACAUUAACUGAAAGGGAUAAG
rnacentral:lncRNA from 1 species